rnacentral:rRNA from 1 species
ACGCGGCGGUGCUUACCAUGCAAGUCGAACGGAAAGGCCCUUCGGGGUACUCGAGUGGCGAACGGGUGAGUAACACGUGGGUGAUCUGCCCUGCACUCUGGGAUAAGCCUGGGAAACUGGGUCUAAUACCGGAUAGGACCACACACUUCAUGGUGAGUGGUGCAAAGCUUUUGCGGUGUGGGAUGAGCCCGCGGCCUAUCAGCUUGUUGGUGGGGUAAUGGCCCACCAAGGCGACGACGGGUAGCCGGCCUGAGAGGGUGACCGGCCACACUGGGACUGAGAUACGGCCCAGACUCCUACGGGAGGCAGCAGUGGGGAAUAUUGCACAAUGGGCGCAAGCCUGAUGCAGCGACGCCGCGUGAGGGAUGACGGCCUUCGGGUUGUAAACCUCUUUCAGUAGGGACGAAGCGAAAGUGACGGUACCUACAGAAGAAGGACCGGCCAACUACGUGCCAGCAGCCGCGGUAAUACGUAGGGUCCGAGCGUUGUCCGGAAUUACUGGGCGUAAAGAGCUCGUAGGUGGUUUGUCGCGUUGUUCGUGAAAACUCACAGCUUAACUGUGGGCGUGCGGGCGAUACGGGCAGACUAGAGUACUGCAGGGGAGACUGGAAUUCCGGGUGUAGCGGGGGAAUGCGCAAAUAUCAGGAGGAACACCGGUGGCGAAGGCGGGUCUCUGGGCAGUAACUGACGCU